GGUGGAAUUCUCAGAUUUGUUAAAGACUAACUUAUGCGAAAGCAUUUGCCAAGGAUGUUUUCAUUAAUCAAGAACGAAAGU
rnacentral:rRNA from 1 species